GAGAAGUGAGUAAGAUGAUCGAACCAGUCCAAAUAAAGUUCACCUUGGUGUCCAUAAGAGGUUACUACUAAGCACGAGCAAAGUGCUAGUCACGUUUACAAACAGUGAAAUCAAAUACCUUCAAGAAGGCAAAACGAGGAAGCAUUUGUGCGACAUGGUCGUGUAAUGAUAGACGUGCAAUGAAUGCGGCGGUACAAGGAGGAAAGAAAUGCCUCAGUCUCCGUGGGGGCUGGAGCUACUUAAUACACGAUCCCACCCAACGAAGCCCAAUGUCUAGCUUUAAUAAUAAAAGGGAUAAUGACGGAUCGAUAUCUGAAUUUUAACUCAAUUUAUAAUGAAAUCCCUCUAUUUUCAAUUUUUUCAAUAUAAGCACUUGGACUUCACUCCAAUGCGGAUUUUUAAUUUGGUACACUUUAUAAAUUGUCCCUGAAUUUAAAUUAAUAGAAGGAUACUAUUGAACAUUUUCAUAUAGUUUAAAAACUAAAUUGAAUAUGUACAAAAAGUCUAGAGAUCAUAUAUAUAUAUAUAUAUAUUUUUUUUUGUCGGUCCUACUCUAAUCCUACUUUAACAGUCACUCUUAGAUUUUUGCUCUGCCUUUUUGCAGGGUGUGGGAGUCGAAACCCACUCCUUAAUAGAUUAAAAGUUCGGGAACUACAUUACAUAAUGGGGUAAAGUUUAGAGGUCACAUUGAACAAAUUAAAAGUGAGGGACCGCAUUAUAUUUAUAGCUCAAGUUGAUGUGCAAUUUUCUAUGAAGAACUAAUACUCUCCAAGAGCCUUCGUGUUGUGUCGGACAUGUCGACACUAUUGAACACUCGGUCAACGCACGUAAAAAAAUCUGACACCUAGUCAACUUUCUCGACACUCUUCGACACUCGAGUCGGAAUUCUAAUAUAUGAAUUUUCGAUACAUGAUUCCAAUAUCAAGGUCAAUUUUAAAAGUUCAAUAAACGAUAGGUCAAAAUAUAUAUGUCAAAAAAUAAAACACAAUAAUAAAAAUAAUAAAUGGAGAAAGAAUAAAAACCUAGUAUUCACUUUUCUCUUGACUCCCACUUCCCGUAAUAUACAAUUCACCCCUUAAAUUUUUUUUAUCAUCUUUCAACAUAUCUAACAUUCAAGUUCAGAAUAUGGAUCGCUUGUUUUUUCUCUAAAUUUUAUGAAUUAUUGAAAUAGAUUUGAAUUUGUCAAAUUGAAAUAAUGAAUGAUAUUAAUAAAUUGCGGAUUAAUAUUCUUAGAGCAUAUUUAUUCUAGGAGUUUCUAAUUAUAUUUAUUUAUGAAUUUGAUUCAAAUUAAUUUGAUUGAAAUAAUCAUAAAAAUGAUAAUUUAUUAUGUAUAUAUAAAAAAAUAUAUUUAAUAUACAAUGUGUCCCAACAUGUUGAAAUUCUCUAUUUUUUUAGAAAAGACGUGUUAGAGUGUCGCGUCGUGUUGUGUCGUGUGGCGUCUUGUCUUGUCCUGUCGUGUUACGUGUCACGUGUCAAUGUCGGUGUUACUUAUAUAAUUUUUGUCCGUAUCUGGCAAUUGAAUUUGGACAAAACCAUUUAUUUGCUAACCACACUGAUGAUAACAAAAGAGCCGAUAACCAUCGUUCACGUGUCAAGAUAUUUGUUAAAGUAUGCAUGUCGCCUGAGAUCAUCUCGCUGGGAUUGGCACCGCGCGCUGAAAUACUCUUUGGUUAGAUGUUUGGUCCUCGUUUGAAUCGCUUUACGUGGCAAUUCGGACGGAAAGUAUUAAACCGAACAAAAAAUGAUAUUUAAUGCAUUGUUGGCCCAUUGGCAUCCUGUCAAUUAAUCACCUAGAAUUAAGUCUUCCCUUGUCGUACUAUUUGGUAUAUGAUCCUGGGGGUAUCUAUCAACUUUUUCACGGCUCCAUGUCUGCUAUCAUAUGUUGAGAUUUUUAGUUAGAGAGAUCUUUAUGGCUUUUUUUUUUUUAUAUUAAAUUUACACCUUACAAAUCAAGCAGUUCACUCUCUUAAGAGCUCACGAAAAGACAUAUCACACUUAUUACAUUUAUGCUUAGUACAUAUAUAUUUAUGAUUGGUUAUGUUUCACGUUCACCAUAUAGUACGCUCAAUCCGUCCAGGAUUCUUUAGUAUGCUUUUUAAAUUCUCAACUAAUCAUCCCAUAUGCAGUUUUUUCUCUCCUUUUUUUAUGAGUUAGGAGCAAGCAAUUUUAGUCUUUUGAACUACCUAUGCCCAUGUAACUAGACAGUCUUUGUCAUGGGCAAUGGGUACUAUGCCGAUUUGCAGCUGCAUAUAGAAGGUGUGGAAUCCAGGUAACAACGGGAAUAUGCAGGAACGAAGGAAUAGGACAGAACAACGAAAGAAGCGCCAUGUAAGAAACGAGCAAAGAGAACCAUUGGGGGCAACGUCACCGGGACGGCGGGAAACACAGCUGCUCAACGUUAAUCACAGGCGUACCAACCGAAAAGGAGGGCGUCGACAGUUCUUGAGAAACAGUUCCUUGAGGGGUUUGCAACAGUUGGAUCACGAAAGUAGAACUCAACGGUCAUUCGGGAACUCUUGCAAAUAGUUCCGUAGCUGCCAUCUCCCCAACAAAUUAUUAAUUCCAACUGCAAAUCCUGUGGCUGCAUCGUUGCUCUCUCUUAAGUCCCAACCGCAUGCUGUUCUUGUAUUGUUUAUAACGAAAGACUUCAUAGAAGAGGUCGCUUUCCUAUUCCUGCCCAUUGAGGGACUGAUCUGGUCCAGUAGAAAACGUAGUUUCAUUUAAGAAAAUGAAUUAACGAAAACUAUUUUCCUAUCAGCUUAAAUUUAAGAAGAUGAUUUCCUCAUUGAAAGGAACAUAAAACUUUUCUAAAAUAUAAUUAGGAAUCGAUGCUUGGAUCUGAAACUUUACAUUUGAGCACAAAACUCCCAACAUUGGUUCUCAAUUUCCGAUGUUCAAGAUCAAUUUGACCAUGGUGAUGAUACUUAAUGUAUUGUUGGCCCAUUGGCAUUCUGUCAAUUAAUCACCUAGAAUUGAACAUGCCACUGUCGGACUAAUUUGGUAUAUAAUCGUGGGGGUAUCUAUCAGCUUUUUUGCGGCUCCAUGUCCUCUAUUAUACGUUGAGAUUUUUACUUAGAGAGAUCUUUAUAGCGCUUCUUCUUCUUCUUCUCCUCCUCCUCCUAUUUUAUUAUUUUUUUUUAAAUAUAUAUCUUAAGAGCUCACAAAAAGACAUACCACAUUGAUUGCAUAUAUGCUCUGUACAUAUAUAUGAUUGGUUAUGUUCCAUGUUCACCAUAUAGUAUGCUCAAUCCGCCCAGGAUUCUUUUAUAUUCUUUUUAAAUCCUCAACUAAUCAUCUCAUACGCAGUUUUUUCUCUCCAUUUUUAUGAGUUAGGAGUAAGCAAUUUUAGUCUUUUGAACUGCCUAUGUCCAUGUAACUAGAUAGCCUUUGUCAUGGGCAUUGGGUACUAUGCCGACUUGCAACUGCAUAUAGAAGGGGCGGAAUCCGGGUAACAACGGGAAUACGCAAAAACGAUGGAACAAGAAGGAACAACGAAAGAGAGAAGUCGACAGGAGAAAGGCCAAGGGCCACGUAAGAAACGAGCAAAGAGAACUAUUGGGGGCAACGUUGUCGGGGGUGGCAAGAAACACAGUUGCUCAAUGUUAAUCGCAGGCGUACCGACCGAAAAUGAGGGCAUCCAUGGUUCUUGAGAAACCGUUCCUUGAGGCAUUUGCCACUAUUGGAUCACAAAAGUAGAACUCAACGGUCAUUCGGGAACUUUUGCAUAAAUCAUGACAGAUCAUAUGUUAUUACCACUAAUUACGACUCCGAUAUGAAGUUCCCACCGAAAAGAUUGACCAUUGUGCCCGCUUCACACAGACUCGAUCAAAUAAGUUCAGGAGGUGAUGGUGAAUCUUUUAUUUUUGUCAUAGGAAGCGCCCACAUCACAGGUUUAUUUAGAUGCCAAGAGAUCUUACCCUGUAAAAAGAAAAUUUUAAUCUCGAGACGGUGAUGAGCCGUACUCAAAUUGUUCAGUGAAGGGAGAAGUGAGUAAGAUGAUCGAACCAGUCCAAAUAAAGUUCACCUUGGUGUCCAUAAGAGGUUACUACUAAGCACGAGCAAAGUGCUAGUCACGUUUACAAACUCAAUUCAAGCGUAGGAAAAAAUGGUCAUCCCAAAACCUUCCCAUCUUGCAGCACAUAUGACUUCUGUCUCUUUUUCUGUUUUGAUGUUGACUUUUAUUCCUUAGUGGGCCGCCAUUAUGUGCGUGCUUGUGUUAGAGAGAGAGAGAGAGAGAGAGAGAGAGAGGAGGAUCUAUCAGAAAAGCUCAUCCAAUUCUGCAGGAGUGACUAGCAAAAGACAGAACAUGAGAGGAGCACAGACAUAUGCAAGCCUUGCCAAGG
rnacentral:lncRNA from 1 species